CACUGACCGUUCACCUUGCUUCCUUGAUCUUCUGGCAAAAAUCUCUCUAUUAAGACAGAAAGGGGUAUUUUUUUUAUACACCCCUAUAUACUUGUUAACCCUUAAUAGAGAUAUUUUUUCCAGAAGCUCAAGGAAGCAAGGUGAAAGGUCAGUGU